rnacentral:rRNA from 1 species
CGUGAGAUGUUGGGUUAAGUCCCGCAACGAGCGCAACCCCUAUCAACAGUUGCCAUCAUUAAGUUGGGAACUCUGUUGAGACUGCCGUUGAUAAAAGCGGAGGAAGGUGGGGAUGAUGUCAAGUCAUCAUGGCCUUUAUGUUCAGGGCUACACACGUGCUACAAUGGACGGUACAAAACGUCGCGAUCCUGCAAGGGGGAGCUAAUCGCAAAAACCGUUCUCAGUUCGGAUUGAAGUCUGCAACUCGACUUCA